UACGUAGGGGGCGAGCGUUGUCCGGAUUUAUUGGGCGUAAAGAGCGUGUAGGCGGCCAGGUAGGUCUGCUGUGAAAACUCGAGGCUCAACCUCGAGACGUCGGCGGAAACCAUCUGGCUAGAGUCCGGAAGAGGAGAGUGGAAUUCCUGGUGUAGCGGUGAAAUGCGCAGAUAUCAGGAAGAACACCCAUUGCGAAGGCAGCUCGCUACACUAUUAUUGACGCUGAGGCACGAAAGCGUGGGGAUCAAACAGG
rnacentral:rRNA from 1 species